ACUGCGUUCGUCUAGUGGACUAGGACACUGCCCUUUCAAGGCAGGAACGUAGGGUUCAAUUCCCACACGCAGUGCCA
rnacentral:tRNA from 1 species